rnacentral:antisense_RNA from 1 species
CUUGACCGAACCCAGCCACAGCGGCGCGUUGCGGUCACGGCCGUAGGUGGCCAGCAGGGCCUGCGCCUC